AACGACACUUCCUCCUUCUUCAACACAUGAAUAACAAUUAAAAAAACUCAUCUGACCAAAAAGCACAAUUGAUCCCCCUCCUCUUCUUCUUCCUCACUUCUAAGAGAAAUGGUAUACCUUCCCUCCAAAACCAUAACACCCCCUAAUUCGGGUUUUCCUUCUCAACAGAAAGAAAGCACCAACCUUUUAUAACUCAUCUUCUCACCUUUACACAUAGAUAUUCACACACCAAUAGAGAUAAAGUCGGGAAUUGAAAGUCCAGAUCUAAAAAUUCGAAAAGAGGUCCAAAAAUAAAACAAAGAACACAAAAAAAAGAGGAAUUUUAAGGUUAUUUUCUACUUCUUCUUUGUUGCUUCAUAAUUUCUGGAAAUCCGAGUGCUAUUUGGAGCUAUAAAAUUGCUGACCGCUGUUGUUUGCCAUUCAUCACCGCCGAGCUCCAACCAUUGCAGUUCUGAACUUUAUUUGGCUCAUUUUCUUUGUUUGACUUAGUUGAG
rnacentral:lncRNA from 1 species